UGGACUUGAAGGCAGCCAGGAGAUAAAGAUGAAAAGGGUGAGGAAACCAAGAGCAGACAGGAAGUGACCUGUGUCUUCUUUUCCUGUCCUGAUGCUCCCCGACUUAUUGCCUUACUUCUCAAAGAGCAAGAGUUGGGGCAAUGUGGAAAAAGAGGCUGAGACAUCCUUGAAAAAGGAGUCUGAACCAGCGAACUUUUUUUUUUAAACAAGAG